rnacentral:rRNA from 1 species
UUGGGAAUCUUGCACAAUGGAGGAAACUCUGAUGCAGCGACGCCGCGUGGAGGACGAAGGGUCUAGGCUCGUAAACUCCUUUUUUCGGGAAAGACUUAGGACGGUACCCGAAGAAUAAGCACCGGCUAACUACGUGCCAGCAGCCGCGGUAAGACGUAGGGUGCAAGCGUUGUCCGGAUUUACUGGGCGUAAAGAGCGCGUAGGCGGCUCGUUAAGUGAGAAGUGAAAGCUCUUGGCUCAACCAAGAAACCGCUUUUCAUACUGGCGAGCUAGAGUGAUGCAGAGGUGGAUAGAAUUCCCGGUGUAGCGGUGAAAUGCGUUGAUAUCGGGAGGAAUACCCGUGGCGAAGGCGGUCCACUGGGCAUCAACUGACGCUGAGGCGCGAAAGCGUGGGUAGCAAACAG